AUACGUAGGGUGCGAGCGUUAAUCGGAAUUACUGGGCGUAAAGCGUGCGCAGGUGGUUUUGUAAGUCAGAUGUGAAAUCCCCGGGCUUAACCUGGGAACUGCGUUUGAAACUGCAAGGCUAGAGUGUGGCAGAGGGGGGUGGAAUUCCGCGUGUAGCAGUGAAAUGCGUAGAGAUGUGGAGGAACACCGAUGGCGAAGGCGGCCCCCUGGGUCAACACUGACGCUCAGGCACGAAAGCAUGGGGAGCAAACAGGAUUAGAUACCCGAGUAGUCC
rnacentral:rRNA from 1 species